GACGAACGCUGGCGGCGUGCCUAAUACAUGCAAGUCGAGCGGACAGAAGGGAGCUUGCUCCCGGAAGUUAGCGGCGGACGGGUGGGUAACACGUGGGCAACCUACCCUGUAGAUCGGGAUAACAUCGAGAAAUCGGUGCUAAUACCGGAUAAUCAUUUGAAGUGCAUGCUUCGAAUGUAAAAGAUGGCUCCGGCUAUCACUACGGGAUGGGCCCGCGGCGCAUUAGCUAGUUGGUAAGGUAAUGGCUUACCAAGGCAACGAUGCGUAGCCGACCUGAGAGGGUGAUCGGCCACACUGGGACUGAGACACGGCCCAGACUCCUACGGGAGGCAGCAGUAGGGGAUCUUCCGCAAUGGACGAAAGUCUGACGGAGCAACGCCGCGUGAGUGAUGAAAGUUUUCGGAUCGUAAAGCUCUGUUGUUAGGGAAGAACAAGUGCCGUUUGAAUAAGGCGGCACCUUGACGGUACCUAACCAGAAAGCCACGGCUAACUACGUGCCAGCCGCCGCAGUAACAC
rnacentral:rRNA from 1 species